UUUCCGUAGGUGAACCUGCGGAAGGAUCACUACUGAGUGAGGGCCUUCGGGCUCGACCUCCAACCCUUUGUGAACACAACUUGUUGCUUCGGGGGCGACCCUGCCGCUUCGGCGGUGCGGCGCCCCCGGAGGCCUUCAAACACUGCAUCUUUGCGUCGGAGUUUAAGUAAAUUAAACAAAACUUUCAACAACGGAUCUCUUGGUUCUGGCAUCGAUGAAGAACGCAGC
rnacentral:misc_RNA from 1 species